rnacentral:lncRNA from 1 species
UUUUUCUUGCUUAUCCAUAUGUUAAUGUACUGUAUUAAUCACCAUCAUUUUAAUCUCUUUAAAUAGAUAAUAGUGCAACAUUGUCUCUGCUUCUUCUAUUUAAACAUUCUUUUACUAUUAUAACUUAAUUGCUAUACCAAAUGAAUUUUAGAAUCUCUAAAUUUUACAACAAUUUAUUUGGAGUUUAAUUUGUAUUGCCUAAAUAUACAUACGUCUAUAUAUAUGUAUGGAUGAAUGUAUACACAUACACAUACACAUUCAGUAUUUCUAUUUUGGAAUGUCUCUAUUAUUUCACAUUCAUUGUAAAUAUCCAUUAGUAAAGGUUUGCGUUUUAUCCUCUGUUCCUUGUCUUACUAUAACAAAAAAGCAAGAUAAAAUUUCAGGCAGCUUUGAAAUAACUCCUUAAUGCUAUUUAAAAUAAAAAAUAUCUAUUUAUCAAAAGACAGAAAGAGGGAAAAAAACCAAUCAAGACGGUGGAAAAAUGACUACUUUAGCUGCCUUCAAGUUUCAAGAUUGACCUAUUUUUUAUUUUAUUCAGCAUAGUUAGAAACUAGAUUAUCUUUUACGUCUUUGAAUAAAGAGAAUUAGGCCAAAAUAAUCACUAAAAUAACUUUAUCAGUGUAAUUCAUAUUUUUUAGUUGUUGCUUAUAAAAUACAGCACCUCUUCUGUCUAUAAUUAGAGGACUAUGUUCACUCAGAGAAAUCAAUAUCUGUUACUCACAUUCAAUUCAUCUAACUCCUCAAAAGUUGAAAUUCAAGUAAUCGGCAAUGCUACUAUCACUUAAUAGACCUAGAAACUGAAGUCGUGGGGAUGGACUGUGACAGGAACUCACCAGUGACGGAGGACUCUAACUAUUAGUUCAUGUGCCCUACACAUGCAGCCACCGUGCAUGUCUGCACAUUUAGUGCAAUUUUUCUUAUCUAGUAGCAUUUAAAUUUACAACCAAUUGUAUACAACCAAACUAUACCUCUGGCAAUUGUCUUUGAUUGAGUGCCAGGGCCCUGGGGAAGUCACCCACAAAUUUUGCUGUUCAGUGAGGAAUUGAUUCAGCCCUGCCAUCAUCUGUGUAUGUCAGAAAAACAUUUCAUAGUCAAAGGCCAAACAAAAUGCUAACUGCAAUAACUCAGAACCAAGUGUAGUCUAUCAGUUAUAAACUAUCUCUUCAUUUCCAAAAGUGCAUCUUACCACAGAGAACUGCCUCUUCGGUCUACUGUGGGUAUUGUUUCCUGAUAGAAUCCAGCAUUUUUUUUUUUUUUUUUCUUUUCCUUGAGUGAUAUGAGAGAGGUACCAGUUCUUUGAAAUGUUCUCCUUAUCCAUGCAGGUUUCCUCUAUCUGCCAUGUUUUGUUUUGGUUUUAAUCUAACUUAGAGCAGUGGCUCUUAAGCUUUCCUUAACCAUGUUUCCUCACUUGGAACAUCUGAGAAUGGAAAAAGCUUGCAAACAAUUUUGGUGUUCCAGGUGUCUGUGAAGUUCACCUACUGAACACUUUGAAGCCCAAAGACCUCUGGAAAUAAGGAAUUCUGUUUUAGAGAGGCUAGUAAAUGAAAAAGGAAUUCUAUAGACAAAGUGACUGAAUUAAAUGCAAAUAUUUUGUAUGCAAACAUACCUCUAGCCCUAUAAAUCUUAGAUGACAUCUCUAAAUGCCUCCCAAUUUAUUAUUUUGUUGAUCCCAAUAUAAUAUUAUUAUUUCAGGUAUUAAAAUACUCAGAUACACAGAUUGGUAGAUGUGAUCACUACUUAUGUUACCAUGUUACAAAAUGCAGGGCUGUACAAUGAGCAUCUGGCACGGAAUUAACUCAUACAAGUAGUAGUUAACAAUGUUUCUAGACCUGGUUCUAUUUUCAGUUGACUUUUGGCAGUUAUUAACUUUUUGGAGUGAAGUUCUCCCAUAUACAUAGGGGAGGGUGGACUAAUGCUCUGGGUUCUUCUCAGGUCUUAAUAUUUUAUUUCUGCUUAGCUUUCAUCUAAUCGUUUCAUAAUUAGUCAGGGCUGAUUUAGUGUGUAAGAAUGAUAGCUGUUCGUAGGUUUACUCGCUUUUUUAAAACACUGUUUCCCUCAAGUUUUGUGUUUUAGGCAGAAAGGAGAAAACCCAAGGCAAAAAAGGUAAAAACUUAAAUGGGUGGUAUACACAUUCUUGAGUCUGAAUAAAUAUUUAAAUGGUAUAAUCAGAAUAUUUCAUCCAUCUCCCAAAACUGAACUUUAUGGCAGUAAUCUUGAAGAUUUUUCUUGAGUGAUGAAAAUCCAUUCAGAAAUGACUACAAUUGUGUGUCCUGCAUUAAUGUCUUAUAUACAUAGAGCCUGUGAAUAAGGUGGCAUUAAUUCACUGUGUGAUAUGGCUUCUUGGGAGUACAAUUUCAGUUUUCCUCUAAUAAGAAAAGACAAACCAACUUUUGCUAGGUUCCAUUCUUCACAUGAAAGUUUAAAAAAAAAAAACUAAAUUAUUUUGAGAUGUAGGCUAACCACCCUAAAGAAAAUAACGAAAUGGAAAGCACAAAAAGUGAAACUGAAAUCAUAAUUACAAUUUUUUUAUGCCCAAGAGCACAGAACUUAGAAAAAUAUUACAAGGUUUUAUCUGCAAUUGUACUGAAACAAAGACAAUUCUGAAUUAAAGAAAAUCUUAUUUUGAAAUUUUUGAAAUGCUUUGGCAUUUCUUAUUAGAUGAUCAGAUCAUGAGUCUUUUUUUUUUUUUUUUUUUGAUGCAUAAACUUUGACCUCAAACUCUAGGGUUUUUGAUCAACUUUCACAGAGGUACAUGAGUAUGUAACUCUCAAUGUGAAAGAAGUAAAUGUUUUUCAUUAAAAUUAUGCUUUCAGAUUUUUUUUUUUUUUUGCAACUUCUAAUUCACUCAAUCCCUUUAAAUGCGGUUAUGUAGAUUUGACCUUGGAUAGUCAAAAAUGCUUUUUAAAAUGUUAAUUUGAGGAGUUCCCGUCAUGGCACAGUGGUUAAUGAAUCCCACAAGGAACCAUGAGGUUGCUGGUUCAGUCCCUGGCCUUGCUCAGUGGGUUAAGGAUCUGGCGUUGCCGUGAGCUGUGGUGUAGGUUGCAGACGCAGCUCAGAUCCCGCGUUGCUGUGGCUCUGGCGUAGGCCAGGGGCUACAGCUCUGAUUCAACCCCUAGUCUGGGAACCUCCAUAUGCUGCGGGAGCGGCCCAAAGAAAUAGCAA